rnacentral:rRNA from 1 species
UUGCCCUAGUAACGGCGAGUGAAGCGGCAACAGCUCAAAUUUGAAAUCUGGCCUCGGCCCGAGUUGUAAUUUGCAGAGGAAGCUUUAGGCGCGGCACCUUCUGAGUCCCCUGGAACGGGGCGCCAUAGAGGGUGAGAGCCCCGUAUAGUUGGAUGCCUAGCCUGUGUAAAGCUCCUUCGACGAGUCGAGUAGUUUGGGAAUGCUGCUCAAAAUGGGAGGUAAAUUUCUUCUAAAGCUAAAUACCGGCCAGAGACCGAUAGCGCACAAGUAGAGUGAUCGAAAGAUGAAAAGCACUUUGAAAAGAGGGUUAAAUAGCACGUGAAAUUGUUGAAAGGGAAGCGCUUGUGACCAGACUUGCGCCGGGCGGAUCAUCCGGUGUUCUCACCGGUGCACUCCGCCCGGCUCAGGCCAGCAUCGGUUCUCGCGGGGGGAUAAAGGCCCUGGGAACGUAGCUCCUCCGGGAGUGUUAUAGCCCAGGGUGCAAUGCCCUCGCGGGGACCGAGGUUCGCGCAUCUGCAAGGAUGCUGGCGUAAUGGUCAUCAGCGACCCGUCUUGAAACACGGACCAAGGAGUCAAGGUUUUGCGCGAGUGUUUGGGUGUCAAACCCGCACGCGUAAUGAAAGUGAACGUAGGUGAGAGCUUCGGCGCAUCAUCGACCGAUCCUGAUGUUUUCGGAUGGAUUUGAGUAGGAGCGUUAAGCCUUGGACCCGAAAGAUGGUGAACUAUGCUUGGAUAGGGUGAAGCCAGAGGAAACUCUGGUGGAGGCUCGCAGCGGUUCUGACGUGCAAAUCGAUCGUCAAAUCUGAGCAUGGGGCGAAAGACUAAUCGA